UCCCAGCAGUCCAAGUCGCAGCCACAUUUGUUGGGUCUAAAACAUCCGUAGCUCGCCAAGCAAGUCUUUGGUGAAAUCGGGACUCUUAAGGUUCCGGCGUGCCUAAGGUACUACUUGGCUAGAGACCGGGAGGCGUAAGAAGUACGUACAGGGAAGCGGUUAAAUGCGUUGAUCCUGUAUGGACUAUCAGUCGCGAAGGCGUCUUACGAGAACGGUUCUGACAGUGAGGGAUGAAGGCUAGGGGCGCAAAGUGG
rnacentral:rRNA from 1 species